GAUGAACGCUGGCGGCGUGCCUAAUACAUGCAAGUCGAGCGAACAGACGAGGAGCUUGCUCCUCUGACGUUAGCGGCGGACGGGUGAGUAACACGUGGAUAACCUACCUAUAAGACUGGGAUAACUUCGGGAAACCGGAGCUAAUACCGGAUAAUAUAUUGAACCGCAUGGUUCAAUAGUGAAAGACGGCUUUGCUGUCACUUAUAGAUGGAUCCGCGCCGCAUUAGCUAGUUGGUAAGGUAACGGCUUACCAAGGCAACGAUGCGUAGCCGACCUGAGAGGGUGAUCGGCCAAACUGGAACUGAGACACGGUCCAGACUCCUACGGGAGGCAGCAGUAGGGAAUCUUCCGCAAUGGGCGAAAGCUUGCCGGAGCAACGCGGCGUGAGUGAUGAAGGUCUUCGGAUCGUAAAACUCUGUUAUUAGGGAAGACCAAAUGUGUAAGUAACUAUGCACGUCUUGACGGUACCUAAUCAGAAAGCCACGGCUAACUACGUG
rnacentral:rRNA from 1 species